CCUACGGGAGGCAGCAGUGGGGAAUUUUGGACAAUGGGCGCAAGCCUGAUCCAGCAAUGCCGCGUGAGUGAAGAAGGCCUUCGGGUUGUAAAGCUCUUUUGUCAGGGAAGAAACGGGUCUUUCUAAUACAGAGGCCUAAUGACGGUACCUGAAGAAUAAGCACCGGCUAACUACGUGCCAGCAGCCGCGGUAAUACGUAGGGUGCAAGCGUUAAUCGGAAUUACUGGGCGUAAAGCGUGCGCAGGCGGUUUUGUAAGUUUGUCGUGAAAUCCCCGGGCUCAACCUGGGAAUGGCGAUGAAGACUGCAAGGCUAGAGUUUGGCAGAGGGGGGUAGAAUUCCACGUGUAGCAGUGAAAUGCGUAGAUAUGUGGAGGAACACCGAUGGCGAAGGCAGCCCCCUGGGUCAAAACUGACGCUCAUGCACGAAAGCGUGGGGAGCAAACAGGAUUAGAUACCCUGGUAGUCCACGCCCUAAACGAUGUCUACUAGUUGUCGGGUCUUAAUUGACUUGGUAACGCAGCUAACGCGUGAAGUAGACCGCCUGGGGAGUACGGUCGCAAGAUUAAAACUCAAAUGAAUUGACGG
rnacentral:rRNA from 1 species